rnacentral:rRNA from 1 species
ACAUCUCUUUUUGUACAAUAUAAAAAGUAGGCCCUGCCCGGUGCCAUUUGGUAAACGGCGGCCUUAGCGUGAGGGUCUUAAGGUAGCAUGAUAAGUCGGCCUUUAAUUGGGGUCUGGUAUGAAUGGGUUGACGUCGGAUAAGCUGUCUCGUAAAAUAUUAAUUGAAAUUAAUUUUAAAGUGAAGAAGCUUUAAUUAAAAAAAAAGACGACAAGACCCUACGAAGCUUUAUCUUAAUAUAAGUAUUAAUUUAGUCAAAUUGGUAAUUAAUAAUACUUUAAAUGGUUUUGUUGGGAUAACAAAACAGAAAUGUACUGUUUAAUGUUAAAUAUUACUUACAAGUAUAUAUCUUAUGUUUAGUAAAUAUGGCAAGUUACUCUAGGGAUAACAGCGCGAUCUUUUUUUAGAGUUGUAAUCGAAAAACAGGUUUGCGACCUCGAUGUUGGCUUUAGGUUACUUGAAGGUGUAGAGGCUUUCAAAGUGGGUCUGUUCGACCUUUAA